GAUGAACGCUGGCGGCGUGCCUAAUACAUGCAAGUCGAGCGAACGGACGAGAAGCUUGCUUCUCUGAUGUUAGCGGCGGACGGGUGAGUAACACGUGGAUAACCUACCUAUAAGACUGGGAUAACUUCGGGAAACCGGAGCUAAUACCGGAUAAUAUUUUGAACCGCAUGGUUCAAAAGUGAAAGACGGUCUUGCUGUCACUUAUAGAUGGAUCCGCGCUGCAUUGGCUAGUUGGUAAGGUAACGGCUUACCAAGGCAACGAGGCAUAGCCGACCUGAGAGGGGGGUCGGCCACACUGGAAGGGAGACACGGUCCAGACUCCUACGGGAGGCAGCAGUAGGGAAUCGUCCGCAAUGGGCGAAAGCCUGACGGAGCGACGCCACGUGAGUGAUGAAGGUCUUCGGAUCGGAAAACUCUGUUAUUAGGGAAGAACAUAUGUGUAAGUAACUGUGCACAUCUUGACGGUACCUAAUCAGAAAGCCACGGCUAACUACGUG
rnacentral:rRNA from 1 species